rnacentral:misc_RNA from 1 species
AAGUCGUAACAAGGUUUCCGUAGGUGAACCUGCGGAAGGAUCAUUAACAAGUAUUGUUGUGGCAACGGCUUUCGGGCCGUUGACGCAGUACUUUUUGUGAACUGGCCCGAUUCCCCCUCUUGGGGGGGAAAAAGGCGAUGCUUUUGACGUUUUUUGUUUCUUGUUUUAUACAACGUAUAAAGACAACUUUCAGCAAUGGAUCUCUUGGCUCUU